rnacentral:rRNA from 1 species
GACGAACGCUGGCGGCGUGCUUAACACAUGCAAGUCGAACGGAAAGGCCCUGCUUUUGUGGGGUGCUCGAGUGGCGAACGGAUGAGUAACACGUGAGUAACCUGCCCUUGACUUUGGGAUAACUUCAGGAAACUGGGGCUAAUACCGGAUAGGAGCUCCUGCUGCAUGGUGGGGGUUGGAAAGUUUCGGCGGUUGGGGAUGGACUCGCGGCUUAUCAGCUUGUUGGUGGGGUAGUGGCUUACCAAGGCUUUGACGGGUAGCCGGCCUGAGAGGGUGACCGGCCACAUUGGGACUGAGAUACGGCCCAGACUCCUACGGGAGGCAGCAGUGGGGAAUAUUGCACAAUGGGCGGAAGCCUGAUGCAGCAACGCCGCGUGCGGGAUGACGGCCUUCGGGUUGUAAACCGCUUUCGCCUGUGACGAAGCGUGAGUGACGGUAAUGGGUAAAGAAGCACCGGCUAACUACGUGCUAGCAGCCGCGGUGAUACGUAGGGUGCGAGCGUUGUCCGGAUUUAUUGGGCGUAAAGGGCUCGUAGGUGGUUGAUCGCGUCGGAAGUGUAAUCUUGGGGCUUAACCCUGAGCGUGCUUUCGAUACGGGUUGACUUGAGGAAGGUAGGGGAGAAUGGAAUUCCUGGUGGAGCGGUGGAAUGCGCAGAUAUCAGGAGGAACACCAGUGGCGAAGGCGGUUCUCUGGGCCUUUCCUGACGCUGAGGAGCGAAAGCGUGGGGAGCGAACAGGCUUAGAUACCCUGGUAGUCCACGCUGUAAACGGUGGGUACUAGGUGUGGGGUCCAUUCCACGGGUUCCGUGCCGUAGCUAACGCUUUAAGUACCCCGCCUGGGGAGUACGGCCGCAAGGCUAAAACUCAAAGGAAUUGACGGGGCCCCGCACAAGCGGCGGAGCAUGCGGAUUAAUUCGAUGCAACGCGUAGAACCUUACCUGGGUUUGACAUGGAUCGGGAGUGCUCAGAGAUGGGUGUGCCUCUUUUGGGGUCGGUUCACAGGUGGUGCAUGGCUGUAGUCAGCUCGUGUCGUGAGAUGUUGGGUUAAGUCCCGCAACGAGCGCAACCCUUGUUCACUGUUGCCAGCACGUUAUGGUGGGGACUCAGUGGAGACCGCCGGGGUCAACUCGGAGGAAGGUGGGGAUGACGUCAAGUCAUCAUGCCCCUUAUGUCCAGGGCUUCACGCAUGCUACAAUGGCUGGUACAGAGAGUGGCGAGCCUGUGAGGGUGAGCGAAUCUCGGAAAGCCGGUCUCAGUUCGGAUUGGGGUCUGCAACUCGACCUCAUGAAGUCGGAGUCGCUAGUAAUCGCAGAUCAGCAACGCUGCGGUGAAUACGUUCCCGGGGCU